rnacentral:rRNA from 1 species
CUUUGGGAGCUUGCUCCCGAAGGUUAGCGGCGGACGGGUGAGUAACACGUGGGCAACCUGCCUAUAAGACUGGGAUAACUUCGGGAAACCGGAGCUAAUACCGGAUCAUUCUUUUCUACCCUUGUAGGAAAGCUAAAAGACGGUUUACGCUGUCACUUAUAGAUGGGGCCGCGGCGCAUUAGCUAGUUGGCGAGGUAACGGCUCACCAAGGCCACGAUGCGUAGCCGACCUGAGAGGGUGAUCGGUCACUCUGGGACUGAGACACGGUCCAUACUCCUACGGGAGGCAGCAGUAUGGAAUCUUCCUCAAUGGACGAAAGUCUGACGGAGCAACGCCGCGUGAGUGAUGAAGGUUUUCGGA